UGUUUGUUUACCUCGCGCGGGGAGAGAGAUCCUCGUGCUCCCGGCCUUGUAGCGGUGCCGUGGCGGGGCGUGUAGGCGUUGACAUCACUCACGGUCAACGGCACUGCCCAUACACUUAGUCCACCCUGGCGGGGACCUCACCAAUGACCUCCAUGAAAACAGGGUCCCAGACAAGCCAGUUGGUCUGAAGGCCGUGGCGCUGACUGACCACAUCAGGGUGUGCUGGCAGCCCCCCGCACAGCACAAUGUGAUGCUGUGUGGCUACACCAUUGCCUGGGACCAAGGCGUGGCGGACAUCUACUCCAAGAUCGUGGACAGCAAGCAGCACGGUUACAUCAUUGAUAAGCUGGAACCCAACAUGGAGUUUGUGAUAAGCCUGCGAGCCUUCAACAACGUGGGUGACGGGCAACCAGUGUACCAGCAAGUCCACACCCAGCCAGAGGAGGAGGAGGUGGUGGCACCCACGCUGGACCCGGCGGUGUGGGU